AGAGUUUGAUCCUGGCUCAGGACGAACGUUGGCGGUGCGCUUAAUGCAUGAGAGUUUGAUCCUGGCUCAGAUUGAACGCUGGCGGCAGGCUUAACACAUGCAAGUCGAGCGGUAACAGGGGUAGCUUGCUACCCGCUGACGAGCGGCGGACGGGUGAGUAAUGCUUGGGAAGCUGCCCUGACGAGGGGGAUAACAGUUGGAAACGACUGCUAAUACCGCAUAACCUCUUUGGAGUAAAGCGGGGGAUCUUCGGACCUCGCGCGUUAGGAUGCGCCCAAGUGGGAUUAGCUGGUUGGUGGGGUAAUGGCUCACCAAGGCGACGAUCCCUAGCUGGUCUGAGAGGAUGAUCAGCCACACUGGGACUGAGACACGGCCCAGAUUCCUACGGGAGGCAGCAGUGGGGAAUAUUGCACAAUGGGCGAAAGCCUGAUGCAGCCAUGCCGCGUGUAUGAAGAAGGCCUUCGGGUUGUAAAGUACUUUCAGCGAGGAGGAAAGGAUGCGUCUUAAUACGGCUCAUCUGUGACGUUACUCGCAGAAGAAGCACCGGCUAACUCCGUGCCAGCAGCCGCGGUAAUACGGAGGGUGCGAGCGUUAAUCGGAAUUACUGGGCGUAAAGCGCAUGCAGGCGGCUGAUUAAGCCAGAUGUGAAAGCCCGAGGCUCAACCUCGGAAUAGCAUUUGGAACUGGUCAGCUAGAGUUCUUGAGAGGGUGGUAGAAUUUCAGGUGUAGCGGUGAAAUGCGUAGAGAUCUGAAGGAAUACCAGUGGCGAAGGCGGCCACCUGGCAAGUAACUGACGCUGAGGUGCGAAAGCGUGGGGAGCAAACAGGAUUAGAUACCCUG
rnacentral:rRNA from 1 species